rnacentral:misc_RNA from 1 species
AUAUAUUGUAUGCUCCUAGCUUGUCACAAAUAUACUCAAUUCUAGUCCUUUAGAAAGAUUUAGAGAGAAUGUCUGCUAACUGAUAAUUUGAAUUGAUAAAACUAGUAGCAAUACAUUCAGACUUGAUAUUUUGUCAAAUAAAAUGACAAUCUAUCUCUAUGUGCUUCGUCCUCUGAUGAAACACAAGAUUAGAAGCAAUAUAUAGUGCAGUUUGAUUGUACAAAUCAACUUUGUUUGUUCAUCACCUCCACAUUUUA